AGAACGAACGCUGGCGGCAUGCCUAUACAUGCAAGUCGAACGAACUCUUCGGAGUUAGUGGCGCACGGGUGCGUAACGCGUGGGAAUCUGCCCCUUGGUUCGGAAUAACAGUUGGAAACGACUGCUAAUACCGGAUGAUGACGAAAGUCCAAAGAUUUAUCGCCAAGGGAUGAGCCCGCGUAGGAUUAGCUAGUUGGUGAGGUAAAGGCUCACCAAGGCAACGAUCCUUAGCUGGUCUGAGAGGAUGAUCAGCCACACUGGGACUGAGACACGGCCCAGACUCCUACGGGAGCAGCAGUAGGGAAUAUUGGACAAUGGGCGAAAGCCUGAUCCAGCAAUGCCGCGUGAGUGAUGAAGGCCUUAGGUUGUAAAGCUACUUUUACCCGAGUAUGAAUAAUGACAGUAUCGGAGAAUAAGCCCCGAUAACUCCGUGUCCAGCAGCCGAC
rnacentral:rRNA from 1 species